rnacentral:lncRNA from 1 species
UGGCAUGAUAAAACAAAGAAAAGAGAUGAUAGCAACAGGAGAUUUUAAUAAAUUUAUUUUGUCAAUUCUUGGCUUCAACUGCACUGAUCAAAUCUUUUUGCUAUUUAUACUCUCUGCAGCAAUGGUCACUAUAACAGUCCUAAUGGAUAGAAAAUUCAAAAGUUGCAGACUUAAAAAUGCUAUAGAACAUGAAUUCAAAUUUGUACACUUGCAACAGUUAUAUCAAAGUUGGAUGAUGUGCACAUAUUGUAAAAUCAGUUCAUAAAACAGGAAUUAUUCAGUAUAGCAGUGUUCAUUAUACAUGUGGUUUUUAACGUGGGGAAGAUAGACUGGCCAAUCAUUCUGUGUCAAAAUGUUCAUUAAAUGCAGGUGUUCAUUGUUUUGGAGUUGCUUAUAAUAGGUUUAUAAUGUAGUUAAAUAGACAUAUUCCAAUUUUUGCAAUUAUCAUGAUGAUAAUUUAAUUAUUAUUAAAAAUAAUUACAAAUAUAUUUUAUAAGACAAGUAGUUUGGGGACUGAGUUGAAUUGGCCUUUUGUAUUUUGUGUUUUUGUAGAG